rnacentral:tRNA from 1 species
GUCCAGGGAUGGGAAUCGAACCCACAAUGUUCCGAUUACCGGGCAGAUGCCAUGUCCACUAGGCUACCCUGGA